rnacentral:rRNA from 1 species
UGCCAGCCGCCGCGGUAAUACGGAGGGGGUUAGCGUUGUUCGGAAUUACUGGGCGUAAAGCGCACGUAGGCGGACUAUUAAGUCAGGGGUGAAAUCCCGGGGCUCAACCCCGGAACUGCCUCUGAUACUGGUAGUCUUGAGUUCGAGAGAGGUGAGUGGAAUUCCGAGUGUAGAGGUGAAAUUCGUAGAUAUAGGAAGGAACACCAGUGGCGAAGGCGGCUCGCUGGCUCGAUACUGACGCUGAGGCGCGAAAGCGUGGGGAGCAAACCGGAUUAGAUA